UACGUAGGGUGCAAGCGUUAAUCGGAAUUACUGGGCGUAAAGCGUGCGCAGGCGGUUUUGUAAGCCAGAUGUGAAAGUCCCGGGCUCAACCUGGGAACUGCGUUUGUGACUGUCAGACUAGAGUGUAGCAGAGGGGGUAGAAUUCCACGUGUAGCAGUGAAAUGCGUAGAUAUGUGGAGGAAUACCAAUGGCGAAGGCAGCCCCCUCGGGUUAACGACUGACGCUCAUGCACGAAAGCGUGGGGAG
rnacentral:rRNA from 1 species